UGUGACCUCCGGAUCGUUUGGAGAGUCGGGGGUGGGGCUCGGGGCGCUACGGACCGGACGUCGUCAGGUCUCCUGGCGGCUGUGUUUGGAGAGGUUUCAGGUUUACACUUCCGAAGAGAGAUGGCAGCGCUCGGUAUAGGCUCCCCUAUGGUGCAUCGGGGCACCCCAAGGCCUGACACCGAGAACACUUGCCAAGCAGCGAUGCCGAGCGCCUUCUCAUCCCUUGUCUUCCACGCUGUCUGAACGUAACUUCUCGACGAUGCUGGCCGAAGCCCACAUAAUCUAAAGUACCCCUCCCGGCUGUGCAGCUGCUGAGUCCCAACCUGGCUGCCCUCCAUGCCUGCUUAACCUCCUUUCUCCUCCAGGCAACUGUGAGCUUUGCCUGCCCUGGGUUUCCUCUUAAACUCUAAUAUAAAGUGUCCUCAAGCUUC